rnacentral:lncRNA from 1 species
GCUGGCGGCAGCAACUGUGGAAGGGAAGAACAUAGUCACGUACCUACACGCUGCUUUUCAUUCUCUCCCACUCAGUCCUUCCUUCCGCUGCCUUCUCUGGGGGCCUUCAUUGGAUGUAUCUGUGUUCUCACCUUCCAUUUCCCUCUUUCUCUGGCUCCCAUUCCUCUCCCUUCAUUUCACCUUUUCAUCUGCCUGCCUCUUUCAUCAUCUCGUAUUUAUACAGCACCUAACAUCUGUUGGACGCUGGGAUUGGCACUGUGACUAUAACAAAGAUGACCGGGACAUGCUUCCUGUCCUCACGGAGCUUACAAGCAGUUGCUGAGUGUGUGUCUUCCAGGGAAAAGAAGAGGAAGCAGGAGAGGAAGCCCGCUGAGUUGGACGUCUGGAAAUCGAUUUCACCCUCUGUGACUGUGUAAACCACCUGCAGUGCCCUUUGACAGCAGAUGAGUUUUAAGAGAAUCCCAAAGAGAGUUUGCACUGGCAAGGCAAAACAUCCUAUUUCAACUCUUUAGAGAUACUUGUGGAGUUUAUGGGAGAAACGGCUUAAGAAAAUUUAAAGCCAGGAGAGUCAAUGGAAGGAGA